UUUGAUUGUGAUGAAUGGGCAUCAUGGAGUUGUUGCUUUGACUCGAAGCAGGCUUCUCAGAGAUGUCGGAGGCCAGUUUGUGGUUGUCAGAGGCUUGAGUCACGUUGUUAGAGGCCAAAGGGUCAGAGGCUUGAGUCCCGUUGUUAGUGGCCAGGGGGUCAGAGGCUUGAGUCACGUUAGAGGCCAGGGGGUCAGAGGCUUGAGUCCCGUUGUUAGAGGCCAAAGGGUCAGAGGCUUGAGUCCCGUUGUUAGAGGCCAAGGGGUCAGAGGCUUGAGUCACGUUAGAGGCCAGGGGGUCAGAGGCUUGAGUCACGUUAGAGGCCAGGGGGUCAGAGGCUUGAGUCCCGUUGUUAGAGGCCAAAGGGUCAGAGGCUUGAGUCACA
ensembl:lncRNA